rnacentral:lncRNA from 1 species
CUCCGCCAGCCCAGCUGCACUUCAGCACCACGGACAGCGCAAGGAAGCGGAAGACGGGGCAAACCCGAAGGCUGCGGCCCUGGUUGUAGGCGGAGUGGGGGGCGCCGCCGGCGAGACUACCCGGUGGCGGGCAGGUGGCACCGCAGCGGGUUUUCCAAUCUCUGUGUAGUAGCAGUGGGCGUGGUGGCGGCGCCGCGCCCGAGCCACACUUGUCGUUGCUUUGUUUCCCUGGUGAUUAAACCUUGUGCCAUUCUAUUCCCGUUAAAUCCGUAGAAAAUGAGAAAAUACUCGACAUUUUGGGGGAAACUUGUAAAUCUGAGCCAGGAAAAGAAGAAGGUUCGGAGCUGGAGCGGCCCUUUGCCCAGGCCCCGAGUAGCGUGGGGCCGGACAGGAAGGCGGCGGAAGAAGAGGACCUUUUUGAGAGCUGCUGCCCCGCGGAAGAGGAGGAAGAAGAGGAAGAGGAAGAGCAGGAGGAGGAGCAGGAGGAGGAGGGAGAUUUAGCUUUGGCCCGCGGCGAGGCCGAGUCUGCUGCACGUGCUCAGACGCGGUGUCAGUGGAGCGAGGCGGACGCCCCGUUAGCGGUAGUGAAAAGGGAGGCGGCGGAGCCGGGCGGAGGCGCAGUUGCAGUUGCAGUUGGAGGCGAAGCCGGGCCAGACCGCGGGCCUGUAGGGCCCGAGGAGCCAGUUGAGCAGAGUAGCGUGGCCGCCGAGCUCGCGGACGUCGCCAGCCAGGAGCUGGCGCGACCCCCGGCUGCCCCGAGCCCUGAGCCGCGAGAUAGCAAAGACGACGUGAAGAAGUUUGCUUUUGACGCUUGUAAUGACGGCCCUGCGGCUCCUAAAGAGUCCUCAGCCAGUGAGGGCGCUGAUCAGAAAACGAGCUUUUUUAAGGAAGAAAAGGACAUAAAGCCAAUCGUUACAGAAGAAAAAGGUAUGAUUUUCCUAUGUGCAUGCUGCAGUGGGUGAUGUUGGGGGACGGUGGGGCCUCAAGUGUCACUCUGUGCCAGCCGCCCCAGGUAUGUUUCUAAGAGCCAGCCUAUGCGUGAGGGCACCCCAGACUAGUACUGCCAAAUAGGGAGGCUUCCACAUAGAAGGACCUGUGGUGCACUGAGGGCCGUUCACUCUGGUUGGUCCUGGAGUAAAGAGUGGCAGCCCACAGGGAAAAUGCCUGCUGUGUGAGCAGGAGGCUCUGAGUUUGAGUCCUAAAUCCCAUGUAAAAAGCUGUGAACCUGUGACCCCAACACUGGGGGCAAGCAGGUGGGGAUUCCCAGGGCUCAGUAACCAGA